UACGAAGGGGGCUAGCGUUGCUCGGAAUCACUGGGCGUAAAGCGCACGUAGGCGGAUCCUUAAGUCGGGGGUGAAAUCCUGGAGCUCAACUCCAGAACUGCCUUCGAUACUGAGGAUCUCGAGUCCGGGAGAGGUGAGUGGAACUGCGAGUGUAGAGGUGAAAUUCGUAGAUAUCGGGAGGAACACCGGUGGCGAAGGCGGUCUUCUGGACGGUGACUGACGCUGAGGCGCGAAAGCGUGGGGAGCAAACGGG
rnacentral:rRNA from 1 species